rnacentral:rRNA from 1 species
UACGUAGGGGGCUAGCGUUGUCCGGAUUUAUUGGGCGUAAAGAGCGUGUAGGCGGCCAGACAGGUCCGUUGUGAAAACUCGAGGCUCAACCUCGAGAUGUCGAUGGAAACCGUCUGGCUAGAGUCCGGAAGAGGAGUGUGGAAUUCCUGGUGUAGCGGUGAAAUGCGCAGAUAUCAGGAGGAACACCGGUGGCGAAGGCGGGUCUCUGGGCCGAUACUGACGCUGAGGAGCGAAAGCGUGGGGAGCGAACAGG